rnacentral:rRNA from 1 species
AGGACGAACGCUGGCGGCGUGCUUAACACAUGCAAGUCGAGCGGAAAGGCCCUUCGGGGUACUCGAGCGGCGAACGGGUGAGUAACACGUGAGUAAUCUGCCCCUAGCUCUGGGAUAGCUCCGGGAAACCGGGAUUAAUACUGGAUACGACCACCUUAGACAUCUUUUGUGGUGGAAAGAAUUUCGGCUAGGGAUGAGCUCGCGGCCUAUCAGCUUGUUGGUGGGGUAACGGCCUACCAAGGCGACGACGGGUAGCCGGCCUGAGAGGGCGACCGGCCACACUGGGACUGAGACACGGCCCAGACUCCUACGGGAGGCAGCAGUGGGGAAUAUUGCGCAAUGGGCGAAAGCCUGACGCAGCGACGCCGCGUGGGGAUGAAGGCCUUCGGGUUGUAAACCCUUUCAGCAGGGACGAAGCGAAAGUGACGGUACCUGCAGAAGAAGCGCCGGCUAACUACGCGCCAGCAGCCGC